AGUCAACAAGACCCUCUCAUAAUCAAGUCAAAAGAGGCACAUUUGGAAGUGAAUUAUGUCUCAUGCUGGAAGAACUUCAGGGUUGCUGUCCUCUGUAACCUGCAGAUGAAGUUGUAAGAGGCUGCAUGGGACCUGGAUCUGAAGGAAAUAACCCAAUCUUGUCAUUGAAAAGGCCAGGCGGGGCUGCUCUUCCAUCAGAAGCAAGCUCAUGAAGAAACAAAAUGGAGCUAAUCUUAUGGGGCAUCUGGAUUUUGGAGGCAACACAAGCUGCGUUUGGUUCUGUGUACCAAUCCAUUAACCAGCCCACAGUUUUAAGAGAGGCAUGGAAUGAUAGAAGUCUCCUCUUAGAAACAGCUCUAAGGUCCAGUGUAAGCUACUUUUCAUUUGAGAUGCCCGUGACAGACACAGAUGUUAUGUGGUUUUCUAAGAAGCUCUCAUAACCCCAGGAUUUUGGUGUAAGACCAUACACUCUGCUACCAGCAAGUACUUUUUGGGCUUGCUUCUGGCAAUUCUAAUGAAGACUGAACACCUGGCCAUGUCACCUGAAGUGACUUUGAUCCUAAAACCAAUAUCAUGAAGUAAGCAUCGUCUUUUGCAAUCAUAAGGUUGUAUGUGCACAGCAGAAUUCCAAGUUUCAAUGGAAAUCGUAUGUAUAAUGCAAUCUGAGAACAGACAUGAAAGAUACAAGUAAACCUCAUAGCCUGGUGCCUCAGUGCUCUCAUGAUACCUGUGCCUUCCCCUUUACUGCCUCUUGCUCCCUCAAUCAUUACACCAAUUCAACAACCCAAAGUGAAAUGAGAACGAAAAUAGUUAAAUACAUAGGAAUUUCAUUGCCACUUUUGUCCAGUUGCAAUCUUUGGCAUCACAGGGAGUUUCCAAUGAUCAGUUAACAGAAGAGGAAAAGCCCUGCUAUAGAGAUGGCUCUACCUGUUACACUGAUACCAGCAGAAAGUGAAUGUCAAAUACAACUUCAGUUAAAAGUGGCACUCAAAAGGGUAGUGAAAGGAAAGCCUCUCAGUGAGUACAACUUCAGAUUUUAUAUCUGGUUGUGUAUUUUGUGUAUAAAGUUAAAUUACUUGAAAUAAUCUCCAAUGACCCCUAGACCAUGGUUAAAGGGGUAGUCAUGUUACUACAGUCUUAGCAAGGAUAAGAAAACUAGCAACAAGAAUAUUUUUGGAAGAAGCAGGUUGGUUGGCCCUUUGGAAGUGGGCGAAGGAUAGAAAGAAAUUUGUUUCAUGCAAAUGCUUAACAGAAAGCAUUCUCUGCCGAGGAGUUCUCAGUAAUCAGGUGGAAAAGGUAACACAGAAUGUGCCUGUCAAUCAAAGCUACCCACAAUUACAUAAUGGUUCAUGAACAAAGUGAUCAUGGCAGCAGGAUUAGACGCUUUGUGUAGGGUCAACAAAAUAGAAUACUACCACCAAGGUUGUUGGGUUAUUGCCCCUGCUGAAGGCUCAGUUUUUAAAGGAGAGACGGUUACUAAUUAUCCUUUAUGGCACUAUUCCAUGAAGAACUAGCCAUCUACCUGGUGGCAAGUUGAUUACAGCAAACUCUUUUAAUUAUGAAAAGAGAAGUCCUUGGUUUUACACAUGUUAAUAGAGAUUUUCCUUUAUUUUCUGCAACAUUUCUACCAGAAUUACUAUUCAUCGACUUUCGAAAAGUCUUGUUAAUUACUACUAACACAUACCUCAUUAUAUAGCAAUAGAAAGUGCAAUAGGGAACUCACACCCAUGAAAUUUAUUGGUAUUGCCAGGUAUCUUGUCACUGUGGAACAGCUGGCUUGAUGGAAUAAUACAAUGACCUACUGAAGGCUGCAUUGUAAUCCCAGCUAGGAGACAACAUUUGUUGCUUUUGGGUUGUUGUCUUAAAGAAUACUGUUUGAACCUCUAAUCCACAAGCAAUAUAUUGUGCUAGUGACGUCACAAUAAGAACUGAGAAACACAGGACAGAGGUAGGGUCAGCCCCUCUCAUUUUCACAUUAAUAGACCACAGAGAAAUGUUUUCCUUCCUAUUCCCAGAAGCUUGAGCUAAUAGAGUUUGAAGGUCAUAGUGACCUAGAGCACAAGGCUUUCCCUAGAGAAUAUCUCCAUUGUUUCAUCAAAUUGUGUAUAGGGCAGCCCACAUGGGCCAUCUGGGCUCCUCAUACUGUUGAAGAAACAAACAGUAAAUGUAGAUGUACAUAAUGUUUUUUGUGGGUGUAUAAUAUAGAUAUAUGUAAAUGUAAAAACAAAUGCAAAUUGUAUAUUUUGCAUAUAUAUGGUAUAAGUAUGCCUUGGAAGAAAAAAAAAAGAAAUGUGUCCAUAUGAAGCCAUUUGAUUAAAUAAGUUUUAAGAACAAAAGCCAUGAAAUUUGACCACAAAUAACCUGUAUCCCAGUGGGUUCUACAGUUUGAUCUGGCUCUGAACAACUUACUUAAUCACUUUUUAACUUGGUCUCCUAGACUCAAAAUGAAACAACAAGCAUAGAUAUCUCAUACACACAUUAAAAAGACUAAAGGGCAUAAUUUAUAUAAAAUCAUAAUUCAUGUGAAGUGCUCAGCACCUCUUUCAAGGAAAUACUCAAUAAAAAUGAUUUAUUAUGCUCAUAUAUUUAUAGAGAUAUAUUUAUGCACAUGUAUGCAUAUACAUAUCAAACAUAGAUAAUAGAUUAAACAGAGUGACCAUUUAUCAUAUGUUUUUUGAAUAUUUUAUUUCUAGGAAAAUCACAGUGAAAUUGUAAACUGUCUGUAAUGCUUUUUGAUGUAAAAUUUACAGUUUAAAAAAUGACAGUCAUGAAAGCAACAAAUUGUUUUGUACAUAUGUAAUUUAUUGUUUGAACAAUGUCAUGAG
rnacentral:lncRNA from 10 species